rnacentral:sRNA from 1 species
GCUGGGUGUGGUGGCACUCGCCUGUAAUCCCAGUGGCUUGGGAGGCUGAGGCAGGAGGAUCAUGGGUUCAAAGCCAGCCUCAGCCUCAGCAAAAGCGAGGCAUUAAGAAACUCAGUGAGACCCUGUCUCUA